rnacentral:lncRNA from 1 species
AUCAUGCUGCGCGGCUGUGAAGUUAUUUUACCCGUGUUGCGGUGAUUGAACCGGUUUCUUCAGAUAAAUAAUAAAGAAGAAAGUAAUUCUGUUUAAAAAAUAAUUGUAUUGCCGGUUGAUCAGGACUGAUCAGGUGAAGAAUAAAAAAUAUAGAAGGAAGGUCUUGUGUUUAAACUCCACAAGUCAGACUUUGUUUCUGACUGUCUGCAAACCCAGCUUAAUUGUUUCCUAGAGGUUUUGCUCAAUUCGAUCGUGCGUGAAGUGUCAGACGUUUUCCGAAACACGAUGUGUGAUUCUGAGGACGAGUUUCCAGAGAAACUCCGCGGUGUCUCCCAGAUCCUGGUGAGACGGGCCGAGUUUAAAAUCACACAGUGUGUGGAGGACAGUGUCGGGAGUGAAAUGGAGCAGCUGAAGAAGGAAAACGAGAGUUUGAAGUGGAGAUUGCAGCUGUGGAAGAAGGAGCCGGGAGCAGGAGAUCGGGGACAAACAGAUCGUGUUGGACACACGCUUCCCUGUGAAGUGACUGGAGAAAUAGAAGAAAUGAACACGAAACUGGGGCUAUUAGGUGAAACAAGGCCUAUUAACAGUCAUGAACAUGCAGUCGUGUCUCUCACUGUGACAGUCCAGGACUCUGAAGGUGAGAUUGAGCUGCUCUCAUGAUUCUAGUGAUUUUAGAGGUCAUUAGUAUUUUACAAUACUAAAUCGCUCAGCAUCUCUCUCACUCCUCACCAGCCUGUGUACAACACUCCUGCAGCCCUCAGUAUCCCUCUCACAUCUCACCAGUCUGUAUACAAAACUUCUAGAGCCCUCAGCAUCUCUCACAUCUCACAAGCCUGUAUACAACACUCCUACAGCCCUCAGCAUCUCUCGCACCUCACUAGCCUGUAUAUAACACUCCUACAGCCCUGAGCGUCUGUCUUACACCUCACCUGCCUGUAUACAGGACUAGUACAGCCCUCGGCAUCUCUCUCACACCACACCAGCCUGUAUGCAACACUCCUAUAGCCCUCGGUAUGUCUCUCAUACCUAACCAGCCUGUUUACAACACCCCUACAGCCCUCUGCAUCUCUCUCACACCUCACUAGCCUCUAUACAAUACUUCUACAGCCCUCGGCAUCCCUCUCACACCUCACCAGCCUGUAUACAACACACUUACAGCCCUCCGUAUCUCUCUCACACCUCACCAUUAUGUAUACAACACUCCUAAAGCCCUCAUCGUCUCUCAGACUUCACUAGCCUGUAUACAUAACUGCUACAGCCCUCAGUGUCUCAGCGUUUCUUGCGCACCCAGCCAGUCUGUAUUCAAUACAGUGCUCAGCAUCAAUCUCACUCCUCACCAUCCUGUCUACAACACUCCUACAGCCCUCAGCGUCUUUCUUAUACCUCACCAGCCUGAGUACAACAAUCCUGCUGGCGUUUCUUACGCACCCCAUCAGUCUGUAUACAGUACUACAGUGCUCAGCAUCUAUCUCACUCCUCACCACCCUGUAUACAACAAUCCUGCAGGCCUCAGCGUUUCUUACGCACCCCAUCAGUCUGUAUACAAUACUACAGUGCUCAGCAUCUAUCUCACUCCUCACCACCCUGUAUACAACAUUCCUACAGCCCUCACCAUCUCUCUUCCACGUCACUAGCCUGUAUACAACACUCCUACAGCUGUUCGCAUCUCUCUCCCACCAGUCCUUCAUUCUGUGUCAUUGUCAGUAUAUCUGUAAUGACUGUGUGCAAGUAUCAGUAUCAGUUAUUAUUUAAUAAGAAAUUGAGUUGCUCCAGUGCGUAAUAGGUUAGCGUAUUCUUCUGUCUAUGUGUGAUUUACCUUUGUAGAUGUUCUGUUUGUCGUUGUGUUUUGUAAUAUCUGUAGAUGUUUAAACAACUUAAAAUAAUUGGUAUACAAUAAAUCAGCUUUGAUGUAUUUGAUGUAUGAUGAUGUGUAAUAAAUGUGUUAUUAUGCAAUUGCAUUGUAAUUUAAUUGAAAUUGCUUUUAAAUACAAUUUGUGUCUUCGAUUCAGUAUGGCUUUUAUUUUUACUUUUGAAUGGGAAGUGAAUAUUUGGAUGCAUACUUUUAACAUUGACUCAGUAGAAACAUUUUGUGUCUUCAUUUGUUAUCAUUUCACUUUAAACUUGGCAAUCUAUGGUUUUUCAAUUACCUGAAAGUUAACAUUUAUUGAAAUUUCUCAUUUUGUUUAUUUAUAUUCAUGUACAGAUGCAGCCAUUCAAAGUAAGUGGUACAGACACGUACCGGAGGUAAUUGGCUGCGGCGUUGCGCAUCAUGACGCAAGAUGAUGCGGGGUACCGCGGUAAGUGAUUGGUUGACCGACAGGGGCACUCGUGGUCCGUUGGUCUGUCGUAGAAAUAUUUACAGUACAGUAAACGUCUUUACUGUGCCCGUUGUAGAUAUUGAAUUCUACCACUGAAGGGAAAUCUUAGUAGCUGAGCUUAAAAAGAAUAGGAGCAUACUGUAAUGCGUGUGAAGGCCAUAAACAAUAUUAAUUUUGGAACAUAAACAUACAGUACUGUAUAUGGCUGGUCUUGGUACUUUAAAGUAAAAAAUACACACCAGUAUUCCAUUUCUCCCUAAACAUUUUAAGCAUCGAAGUCUUUAACUAAAGAGAUACCGGAGUCAACAAG